rnacentral:rRNA from 1 species
CCCUUAGAUGUUCUGGGCCGCACGCGCGCUACACUGAUGCAUUCAACGAGUUUCUUCCUGGUCCGAGAGGAAUGGGUAACCUUUUGAAAGUGCAUCGUGAUAGGGAUAGACUAUUGCAAUUAUUGGUCUUCAACGAGGAAUUCCUAGUAGACGUAGUUCAUCAGACUGCAUCGAUUACGUCCCUGCCCUUUGUACACACCGCCCGUCGCUCCUACCGAUUGGAUGAUCCGGUGAAUUCUCAGGAUCGUUGUCUUGGUGCUGUUUCAGCAUCCAGGAUAUGCGAGAAUUUGUGUAAACCUUAUCAUCUAGAGGAAGGAGAAGUCGUAACA